GAGAGAGAGAGAGAGAGAGAGAGAGAGGAGGAGAGAGAGGGCCGGCGCGAGGAGCUUCCUGGCUAUGGCGGCCGCCGUCGUCUUCGUCCCCGGUGGCGCUCCAUCUGGUGAUGAUCGGCGCGCCAAGGCGGAACCGUGUAAGUGAUCGAUCUUGUCUCGCUCUUCUUUCUCCCGAAGGGAAGGGAGAGGUUUCUAGGUUGCGCCGGCGCGACGAGGCUCUGAUCUCGCCGACAUACCCGGGGCUGGGAGCAAGAAAUCCGCGCUUCCCAGCCGGAAGAUGCCAGGAAUGAUCAAGGCGGACAGCGCAUCACCGUCGGAGGCCUCGAUUUCUCACUCUCUGCUGUCACUGCAAUCCUCCUCUCCGCCCGCCGCCGCCGCCGCCACCACCACCGCCACCGCCACCGCGCCGGCGCCGCCGCCAUCGUCGGAGGAGCGCGGCCUCCGCCUCAUCCACCUCCUCUACCUCUGCGCCAAUGCGGUGGCCAGCAACGAUCUCCAGCACGCCAAUCUCUUCAUGGAGCAGCUAUCGGGCCUGGCGUCGCUCACCGGCGAUCCAAUGCAGCGCGUGGCAACCUAUUUCCUCGAGGGGCUGGCUGCGCGGGUCACCAAGUCCUGGCCCGGCCUCUACAAGGCGCUCUACUCCACCCGGCUCUCCUCGGACUCGGACAUAGCGGCGGCCCGGCACAUCCUCUUCUCGGUCUCGCCGUACCUCAAGUUCGGCUACCUCACGGCAAACCAGGCCAUCCUGGACGCGAUGCAAGGCGAGAAGGUGGUACACGUCGUGGACUUGGAGGUGGGCGGUGGCAAUAGUGUUCUCCAGUGGCUGGCGCUCUUACAGGCAUUUAGUAGCCGUCCGGAGGGUCCUCCACACUUGCGGAUCACUGCGGUGAACGAGAAGCGCGAGGUGCUGGCGCUCAUGGGCCAGAAGCUCACCGAGAGCGCAGAGCGGCUGGACAUCCCUUUCCAGUUCCACCCGGUGGCGGUGAGCCCGGCGGCGCUCGAGCGCGACAUGCUGGGCGUCAAGAGCGGCGAGGCAGUGGCUGUGACGUCGCUCAUGCAGCUCCAUUCGCUCCUGGCCGACGAGAAGGAGGAUGGCAAAGUCCGAGGUGGUGAUGGUGGCGGUACUGCAAGUUUUGGCCUGGCGCUCAAGGAGAGGAGCAAGAGCGAGCCGGGGUUUGUGAGCUGUAAGAUGGAGGAGCUCAAGGAGAGCAAGAGCGGGUGCAAGCGGAGCCGGGAUGCGCUGGGAACAGGUUUCAAUGGCAUCGAGACGAAUGGUCGCGACGACUCGGGGCUAGAGCUGGGAAUCGGGGUGUUUCCAGUGGCUCCCAGGGAAGCAAAGGCGGGAACGAGCAGCACAAUCAGCCGCGUGUUGCAGCUCCUCCACAGCUUGAGUCCCAAGAUCAUGGUGGUGGUGGAACAGGAGUCGAAUCACAAUGGUGCUCUACACGAGAGGUUUGCUCCGGCGCUGCAUUACUACUCGGCUAUCUUCGAUUCCCUGGACUCGACGCUCCCGCAGCACAGCAGCGAGAGGAUCACCGUGGAGAGGCUCAUCUUCGGGCAGGAGAUCAGGAACAUCGUGGCUUGCGAGGGCCUGGAACGGAUGGAAAGGCACGAAACACUAUCGAGCUGGAAGAGGCGAUUCGAGCAAGCACACUUCUCGUCGUCUCUCCUGAGCCCGACAACCGCCGUGCAAGCGGAGCGACUGCUGACAAUACAUUCGCCUGACGGAUACAAGCUACACCGCGAAAAAGAGUAUCGUUAUCUCGUGUUCUUUUGGAGCGGUAGUGCUGAGCGCAAGAUUUUUGUUCGCGCGAUUGAUUCCCUGACGAAGAUAAUAUCAGGCCAAAGCUAGGCGACAAGGAGCAGUGUCAUCUAGCACUAAGAGGUGUGCCGCAGAGAGACAAAUGCGCUAUAUACCCGAGUCCACUUCCCAACGAGGACCUCACCUCCCUCCAUCCUUCCUCUUUUGUUGAAGGGGAGUUGUCUGAAGCGAUUACCCUGACUUGAUGGAUUUGGAUGGACAACGGAGGAGAGUGAUGCGUGAUGUGCGUCCCGAGGGAAACCAGUCACGCUUGAAGUGAAAGCAAUAAGAAAGUGUUUCGGCGUCGGCAAAGCUGCAGGAAGAUUUGUCAAACGAGCGCAGAGAGGUUAUUGGACGAUGACUUAUCAACAGAAGUGAACACAAGCAGACACGUAUUAUUUGCAUCGCUUUUGCAGAAGUUUGGCCCUUUGGGCACUAACUGCACGUCAGUUAGGACCCCUGCCAGGAUCGGGCAGCAGCAACAGGCAGCCGAUGGAUGCAUGCAGCCAGAAGCCAGCAGGCAGCAGCAGCAGCAGCAGCAGCGGUAGCAGCCUUGUGGCCUCAUGAUAUAUGUUGCCACUUCAAUUAUCAAACUGAAAGCAGCAACCGACCAAGCUCGUAGCAGAGAGCAGCAGAGAGGUUGCAGGAUCCGUCCGAAAGCAGUGAAACUGAUGGGUGGAUAAUGCGGGAAGAACGAGACGACUUUUUUUGACGAAGGCGGAUUCUGCUUUGCCAUUUUGGUUCACAUGCAUUCAAGUGCUGCUUGAAUUCGAGGCCCUCUGCUGGCUGGCGACUUUAUUGCACUUCGUCGGCUCCGGGAGAGCUCCUUGCAAAUUUAAGAACAACACCGACACAUACACAGAGGUUAUUUUACUUGCCAGCGGCAGCAACUUUGCUCGAGAAGCGCGGCAGUCACUUUACUUUUAAAGUUACUCAAAGAAACUUUCCAUAAA